rnacentral:rRNA from 1 species
UACGGGGGGGGCAAGCGUUGUUCGGAAUUACUGGGCGUAAAGGGCUCGUAGGCGGCCAACUAAGUCAGUUGUGAAAUCUCCGGGCUUAACCCGGAAAGGUCAACUGAUACUGUGCGACUAGAGUGCAGAAGGGGCAACUGGAAUUCUCGGUGUAGCGGUGAAAUGCGUAGAUAUCGAGAGGAACACCUGCGGCGAAGGCGGGUUGCUGGGCUGACACUGACGCUGAGGCGCGAAAGCCAGGGGAGCGAACGGG